rnacentral:rRNA from 1 species
UACGGAGGGUGCGAGCGUUGUCCGGAAUCAUUGGGCGUAAAGGGCGCGUAGGUGGCCCGGUCAGUCUUUGGUGAAAGCGCGGGGCUCAACCCUGCGUCGGCCAGGGAUACUGCCGCGGCUCGAGCACUGUAGAGGCAGGCGGAAUUCCGGGUGUAGCGGUGGAAUGCGUAGAGAUCCGGAAGAACACCGGUGGCGAAGGCGGCCUGCUGGGCAGUUUAGCUGACACUGAGGUGCGACAGCGUGGGGAGCAAACAGG